rnacentral:rRNA from 1 species
UCGCUCCUACGGGGGGCAGCAGUGGGGGAUAUUGCACAAUGGGGGGAACCCUGAUGCAGCGACGCCGCGUGGGCGAUGGAGUGCUUCGGCAUGUAAAGCCCUAUCAGCAGGGAAGAAAAUGACGGUACCUGACUAAGAAGCCCCGGCUAAAUACGUGCCAGCAGCCGCGGUAAUACGGAGGAUGCGAGCGUUAUCCGGAUUUAUUGGGUUUAAAGGGUGCGUAGGCGGUCUGUUAAGUCAGCGGUAAAAUUGCGGGGCUCAACCCCGUCGAGCCGUUGAAACUGGCAGACUUGAGUUGGCGAGAA